GGUGGCUCAGUGGUAGAGUGCUUGCCUUGCAAGCAUGAGACCCUGGGUUCGAUUCCUCAGUACCA
rnacentral:tRNA from 1 species